CAUGAACCCUGGAGGCAGAGCUUGCAGUGAGCCGUGAUUGUGCCACUGCACUGCAGCCUGGGCGACAGAGCAAGACUCCGUCUCAAAAAAAAAAAAAGCAUCAUAAGUGGAAGUCUCUUUACAAAGAUGAAUACACAUAAAAUGUCUCUAAAAGCUGUGGAAUCACUUUCAAUGGAAUCAAGUCUGUUCUCAAAUGCUUUACCAAAAGUGCCAGGGCAUGGUAAUUGAGAGUUCACAGAGCUCCUAGUCACCUGAGUGUGUAGCCCAGCUUCAAGAUUUGGAAGUUAUAUUUCCUUGGGCAGAGGACUUACCCCUCUAAGCCUUAGCUGGCCAAUCUUUAAAAUAAGAAUAGUAUCUGCCUAAUAGGUUUAUUGUGAGGAUUAAAUAAGAUAAUAUAUAGAAGCAGUAAGCCUAGUGUGUAGCAAAAGGUAAGCCUUUGACUGAUAUUAGAACAAGAAAGGAGAAAAAGGUAGCAGAGAAAGUAUCAGUAACCAUAAAUCUUUGACAAAGUGGUUUUGUUAAAAGGAAUGAAUUGGCUUGGUGAAGGAGUCAUGCUGCUUUCAGAGGAUUAAUACUCAGUGUACUAAAAUUCUUCGUGGCCAUUAGAAUUACAGUACAGGACACACCAGGAAGAAGGGUUGCCCUUUGUCAGUUUGGACUGAAUUAAGCUGGAAACAUGAUGGAAAUUUGAGAGCAGGCGGACUCAAUGUUUCAGACCUAGUCUUUGGUAUAAGAAAAAGUUUGUGUGUGGCGGGGCACGGUGGCUCACAUCUGUAAUCCCAGCACUUUGGGAGGCCAAGGCGGGCGGAUAAUGAGGUCAGGAGUUUGAGAGUAGCCUGGCCAGUAUAGUGAAACCUGUCUCUACUAAAAACACAAAAAUUGGCCAGGCGUGGCGGCGUGUGCCUGUGGUCCCAGCUACUUGGGAGGCUGAGGCAGGAGAAUCACUUGAACCCGGGAGGCGGAGGUUGCAGUGAGCCGAGAUCGCACCACUGCACUCCAGCCUGGGCAACAGAGUGAGACUCCAUCUUAAAAAAAAAAAAAAUGUGUGUGUGUGAGGCAGAGAGAGAGAGAGAGAGAGAGAGAAGGGGGUGUAGAAGAGAAUGGAGGGCAGAAUUUGUCAAGGAGAGUGGACUGGUCUCAACUGCCUCGAUUGAGGCCUACGAAGAUGUUUCAGAGGAAGGCAGAUGAUCAUGGACCAUAUUUAUUCUUCAUCUCCAUUGCCAGGGAAAGCUUUGUAUUCAAGGCUGUCCCUUGUCUAUGAAAUUAGUUCUAGAGUUAUAAUAAUUUUGCCUUGGGAUGUCCCAGGGCACAAAUACAGAUGUGACUAUCAGCUCCACAUUCUUCCAAAAGAAAGCCUGUGGUUUUUUCGUAUUUAUAAUAAUACUUAGGAGGUUUCCUCGUAGAAAAUACUGAGCCACACUCAUGGAAUCCAGCAGAGCCCGAUUAUUUCCUGGGGUUGCAAGGGAAGAGAUAAUAACAGCGACUUCUGGACGUAGAGACAGCAGAGCGAGGCCAUGUGUUCAACCUAACAGCACAGUGAGAGUCGAGAGUCUUGGAAUAACUCAGUCUGGUUCCCAGCUCUUUCCUCACUAGCAACUUUAUUUGGUAGCAUUAACUGGGUCAUUGUUUAAUACCUCAUCUUUCCUACGUAAAAAUAGCUGAAGACCUAAAAAUCUUAGGAUACGAGCUAUGUGCUUAAUUCACCAGCUAUUGUCCCCCAUAAUUUUGUAACUGAUUGUCUGCAGAGGCAGAUGGGACCAAUUGGUUGGUUAAAUGCAGUCAGUCAGUUAUUUGGUCAUGGUCUACUAUUGUUAUUUAUUGUCUUCUCAAGACUAGAUGUGCAUAGUUUUUAAUUUUCACCUUUAAAGUACAUUUAAAGUACGUACGAAAUUAAGAUUCUACCACCUGCCAUUCUGUGGUGUAUGUGUGUGUGUGUGCGUGCGUUGAAUGGGUGAAAUUAAACAUAAGUUAUGUUGGGCGAGUAUGUACUCCAGAUACAAUACUGUUGCAGACACCGUGCAAUACUUAACCUAGUGGGACACAUUCUUUCAAGGAGCUUACAAUCAACUGGAAGGAGAAGUGAGCUCAGAGCCAUAUACAUGGUUGCUUGUUUUACUAAAUAUGAGAGCAAUAUAUGAAAUAUGAAGAUUACUGGGAACACAGAAAAAUAACUGUGGCAAUGUCCGGAUUCUUCUGGGAGCACCUUAGGAGGCCUUGCAGAGCUGAUUCUGUGUGAGCUUGGGCUUGAUUUUGAAUGGUAGCCAUGGGAAGAGCAGUGAGAAUGGUGAGGGCACAGUCUCUAAGGCAAGAAAGGAGAGAGCAGGCUGAAGAUAGGGUCGUAUGGGAGUUUAGGUGGGCAUGGGGUGGCUUCCGCCCAGGUGGAGGAGGGAGGAGGCAGUAAUGGAAGAUGGAUAAGUUAUUGUAGAGUUUGUACAGUGGUAGUGUCAAAGGAUUCUGAGUUGGGGAGCCACAUUGUCAGAUCCAAUUUUAGGAUAAUAACCAGGAAAACAAAGUAAAGCAUGAAAGAGCUGGAAGAGAUGGGAGGCAGGAGGACCACGUAGGAGACUGAAGGGAAGCCUGAAGAAGCACCGCAUCAACAGAAGAGAAGAGGAGGGCUGGACUCCAGCCGGCUCCUGCACGUGUCUUUUCAAUUGCCAGCCUUGGGUUUUCUUAUGAUCCUAGCUGCUGCUUAUAUGUUUUUGUUAUUAUUUUUUAAAAACUCAGCCAUCUUUUCCUUUUAAAAAAUAACAGAAUGCAACCGGGCACCGUGGCUCACGCCUGUAACCCCAGGACUUUGGGAGGCCGAGGCGGGCGGAUCAC
rnacentral:lncRNA from 1 species